UAAAGUUUGCUACACUCUUUUGACGUAAUUAAGUUUUGGAAAUGUGAAGCCGGGUGAUUAGUACUACCCCGUGCUUAAGUGAAUUACUGGUAAAAGUGUUUUGUGAUUUGUGAAGUUAGCCAGGGCCUUAGUCCCUACAGAUAGUGUACUAUUAUACUCAUAGGAAGAAAGUGUCGACCUUGAGUAUACAUACUCUGGUAUUGUCCUUGGUAUGCUGCGGCUUAUCCGUGCUUUGGUAUAGUGGACCUAGCAUGUGAUCUUUGUGAUUUAUUACCAGUUUCCUAAACAUUCACAUGGAUAAAUUUAUUCACGCUUGUAUAUGUGUGUGUGUGUGUGUGCGCGCAUAAAUAAGAAUCAGUAUGAACAAAUCAAAAUGAUUCUUGGU
rnacentral:lncRNA from 1 species